UGAGCGGCGGACGGGUGGAGUAACGCGUGGGUAACCUGCCUCAUACAGGGGGAUAACAGUUGGAAACGGCUGCUAAUACCGCAUAAGCGCACAGUACCGCAUGGUACCGUGUGAAAAACUCCGGUGGUAUGAGAUGGACCCGCGUCUGAUUAGCUAGUUGGUGGGGUAACGGCCUACCAAGGCAACGAUCAGUAGCCGACCUGAGAGGGUGACCGGCCACAUUGGGACUGAGACACGGCCCAAACUCCUACGGGAGGCAGCAUG
rnacentral:rRNA from 1 species